rnacentral:rRNA from 1 species
AUUGAACGCUGGCGGCAGGCUUAACACAUGCAAGUCGAGCGGAGAUGAGGUGCUUGCACCUUAUCUUAGCGGCGGACGGGUGAGUAAUGCUUAGGAAUCUGCCUAUUAGUGGGGGACAACAUUCCGAAAGGAAUGCUAAUACCGCAUACGUCCUACGGGAGAAAGCAGGGGAUCUUCGGACCUUGCGCUAAUAGAUGAGCCUAAGUCGGAUUAGCUAGUUGGUGGGGUAAAGGCCUACCAAGGCGACGAUCUGUAGCGGGUCUGAGAGGAUGAUCCGCCACACUGGGACUGAGACACGGCCCAGGCUCCUACGGGAGGCAGCAGUGGGGAAUAUUGGACAAUGGGGGGAACCCUGAUCCAGCCAUGCCGCGUGUGUGAAGAAGGCCUUAUGGUUGUAAAGCACUUUAAGCGAGGAGGAGGCUACUGAGACUAAUACUCUUGGAUAGUGGACGUUACUCGCAGAAUAAGCACCGGCUAACUCUGUGCCAGCCGCCGCGGUAA